rnacentral:lncRNA from 1 species
UUAGGUAUAUUCUAGUUUGGUUGAUUUGACUUAUUCAAAGGUUAGAAAACUUGGCUAAGAUGCUUCAAUUGAUGUAAUUUGACUUGGUCCAUUCUAGACUAAAACGUAAUUGAAAUAAUUGAACUUUAAUUUGGCCAAUUGAGGUUCAAUUUAAAAUAUGAGUUUAACUUGUGGCCUCACUUCAAUAGGAAUUCAAUGAAUUAAAAAAUUUUGUGCCCAAUUAGUCAACUUGAGAUAGCCUAGUUAGACCUCAUUUGAUCCGAUUCAUGUAGAAAUAUUUGUUUUUGUUUAAAUUGGGUAAAACUAGAAAAAAAACAGAAUAAAAUUCGAACAAAAAAUUCAACCUGGUCAACUCGGUGUUGACUGGGGAAUUUUUCCUAUCAUUUUUUGGCUGGAAACCACCCUCAGCUAACCCACUUCAUGGCAAAUGCAUUUAUGCCCUUAAUUUUCAAAUUUCAAAAAUUUCCUCGGAUUUUAUGAAAUUUGCAAAUUUGCCCCCAAGUUUGGUGAAAUUACAAAAGGACCCCAACAAAUCUAUUACCUCAAUAUUAGAUCAUCACCAUUCAUUGAGAAUGCAUCAUGACCAUUGAAAUUAACAUAUUCCUAAUUAGGAUGUUAUCUAGGAUUCGUUAAAAAUGAGAUGACAUUUUAGCCUUUAGAUCAAUCGAAGGGCUAGGAUUCCAUCCUUUAAACACAUAUAAAUAGGAUUUUUCUCUUUAGAAAAGGGGGGCCGGAUUUUUUUUAUAUAGAAAACUAGAUAUGGGAUUAUUUUAUCUCUCCUCUCUCUCUCUCUCUCUCAUUCCCACUCAUGCACUCUCUCCCACCACCUUUCUCACGUCGCCUCUCUUGCUGCUCCUAAAUCGCCGCUCAUCGGAACCUCGUCGGUCGAGCACCUCUAUCCACAACCUCCACCGGCCUCCCUCACUUGCUUUCCGGUGUAUUGAAGACUGCCAUCUCCUCUGGUGAUUCCUGAUCGUCUCUGCUCUGACUUGAUCACAGCUCAGGAGUCGUAGGCGUUUGAGCCGGUGGUGGAAUCGGCGCCGUUUUCUUCUUGAUAGACGUCCAACGGCCGUUUCCCCAAGCCUCUGGCCAUUCCUGAACUGCUUUCAAUUGUAUCCCCGACUGUCCAGAGGUCAGGGAUUGAGCAAACAGCCAUGGAUCUGUCUUCGGUGGCUGACCUUAAUCCUGGAGGUCCAAAACCAGUCAGAUAUAGACCUAUUUUUUUUUUCCACCGCUUGAACUGAAGGUCCGGCGACUUCGAUCGGCGCACCUACCCACGCUGACCUAUCCCUCCAGUGGUUGCUGACCUCACCGUGGUCAGGGAUUGGAGUAUUGACGGUCGGAGCAUCUCUGGUGACCGAUCUUCUCCGGCAAGCGCGAGGACCAGUCCAAUUGGACCGGUUCUGUUUUGGCGCCUAAAUCGACGGUCCAGCCGCUUCCUUGGUGAUCCACGACGUCCAUUCGUCAACUUCGAAGUGUCGUUUGAGCUCUGGCGGUGAAGGCUUCGUCUGAUUGCGUAAAAAUAAUUGACGAGAACACAAGAAAGGUAAAAAUCUUCAACUCGAAUCCAAUGAAGCGAGGUCGGCGUAUUCGACUGGGGCUAGGAUUCGCGAGUAGAUCUAUGAAAUAUGUUUAGAUAUGUGGCUUAUGUGAUCAUUCGAUGAUUUGCUGAGAUUGAAGAUUGAUUGAGAACAUGAUUGAGUGUUAGAAAUAUGAAUCUGUAAUUUUUGUAUGUUUGUACCUUUGGCCAAAACAAAGUUCAAAACGACCUCAUUUCAAUUCGAGUCAUUAGAUAAUAGACAUCCUAAGCUUCGAAAAAUAAUUGGUCGCACGCCUCAAUUGAGUAUCGUUUGACCCUAAAAACAUCUCUGAAAAUGAGCGAGUCUGCUAUAGCUCAGUUAGAUUUUCGGUUUUGUUUUUGCUCCGAAAUGAGAUUUUACUAGUUUUGUGUAACAUUAUGUGAUGAUUUUUGGACAAUCUUGCCUUGAUAAGUUUUGUUCCAAAUUAUUUUGUGCACAUCCUAUAAUUUUUCAUGAUUUUUGGACCUACUUAACUAGGUCAGAUCUACUCAAAUUUAAGCCUAGGUCAAUUUGUUCCGUAAUGAUAUCUGAUUUUGCCAUUUUUUUUUAUUGAUUUUUGUAUUAAGUUAUGGAAUGACUUUCCUUCAUGAAAGUUGCUUGUAUUAGUGUUGUACAUGUCAUGUGUUUUUUUUUUCAAAAUUUUUAAACAUGUUUAACUAGGUCAAAAUCACUUAAUCUGAACAUAAAACAGUAUUGUCUUGCAUUGGUCAGAAUUCUGUUUUGAUGAAAUCGAGUCAACAAAUACACUUAUUUGGUUUCAAAUCCUUCAUGAAAGUUGAAAUAUAUGAUACAUAUGUUCAAUUGAUGCAUACUUUGUAAAUUUUUGACAUUGGCAAGUGAGUUAAUUGCAUGAGUUAAGGUGAAAAUGUGCCGCAUCGGUAUAUAGUCUAAAUGUACAUAUCUGUCUUGUCAUUUUUGCUGUGAUUUGUGUGGUCACUUUUAGGUUUUGAAUCCUUAAUGAGAAACAUUCAUCAUUGCAUAUUCUAUAUGUGGGAUUUUCAUAAGAUUUAUGCACGACUUAAGAUGGCUGAAAUUGUGCACAUUCUGUGAAAUCAAUGCUAAAAUGAAAUCUUGUCAUUUAUGCAUCUUACCAUACUUGUUUGAGACAUUUAGAGUCUAAAUUUUGCGAUAAUGUCUUUUUGACACAUAAACUUCAUGUCAUAAGGUUUGAGUACAUGUUCAUGUCAUUGCAUUUGAGUGUUAUUUUACAUGUUAAAUUUGUGCCACAAGAGCGUAUGUUCAUCGAGAAACUCUCAAGCAUUUCAUCAUGAAUCUUGAGUCAUCUUGUACUGUCAUUUGAGUGUCAUUUUAAUUUGUGAAUAUAGACUACAUGUUUUUGAUUAAAAAACAAUUUAAAUUUGAGGAGAAUAUAAUGACAAAAAGAAUUGUUUGCAAACUGUGUCUGUAGAGAAAUUGAAGCAUAAAGUAAUGGGAUAAACCAAGACAAAAGACUAAAGGGUAUGUUUGAUAACCAUUUAAUUUCAGGAAUAAUUUCUACUCAAAAAUGAUUAUUUUUUAUUAUGUUCCUAAGAAUAAUUUCUAAGCAUUUGAAGGCAUUUCGUAACUACCCAAAAUUUCUAUUCCUGGAAUAAAAUUGCGUUUGGUAUCGUCCUCAAAAUUUCUAUUCCAAAACAUUUUCUUUUAAUUUUUUAAUAAUUUUUUUACUUUUUUUUUUUUAAAAUUUCUUUCUCUUCUUCUUCAAGCUUUGGCCAAUUGUCGGCCUUAGAAUGAUCGAUGACUAGCCAAACGAGGGCCGGUGACCUUGCCGGAGUGUCGCCUGCCCCGGUGAGUCCUUGCCUCAUCGGUCAAGCCUCACCAGGAACUGGUUGAAGCUUGACUGAGCCUUGGCUCGGCGAGGUUGAGCCUCACCCAGCUAGGCGAGGCUCGUUAGUGGUCAGGGGAGGGACUAGGCUUGGCAGUGAUUGGGCGAGUCUUCAGACCUCGCCUAACCGAUCACCGGUGAUCGGUAGCGGUGAAUGACAACAAUGGUGGUGAUGGUGGAAAAAGAAGGGAGAAGGAGGAAGAACAAGAAGAAAAGAAGAAGAGAAAAAAGAAAAAAAGAAAUUUGGAUUGGUUUGAUUCUAGAAUUGUUCCCAAGAACAAAAAAGCAACUCUCUUUUAAUCAUUGAUUCUAUUCCAUAUCUAUUUCUAGAAACAAAAAAAUAGAAUCAGUUACUAUUUGGCAAGUUGCCAACACAUCCUUAGCGUGAAUCUUUGGAUCACGGGACAAAUACAUUGUUUUAGUUAUUAGUGCUUUUUCUCAAUGUGAUAACUGAUGUAACUGGAUCACAAAUGAAAUUGAAUCCUUGAUUCUCGUUGACGAGAAGUUUAUUAAUAUGACCCAAUAGCAUUAUUCCAACAUGUUACAUUAUCCCUUAUUGGUGUCCAUCGCUAGAGUCUUACCCACCCUUAUGGCACGAUUGACAAUUAAAACAAAGAUGACACGACCUACCAAAACAAAUUAAUCGUUUCAGUUUCAAUACGGUCCGCCAUUUUAUUUAAUUUGAUGGAAUUACUUCCCCUUGAUUAUUACAUUUCAAUGACAUGGUAUGGUUUCAACAUAGCAAAUAAGUUGAUUGAUUUUCUUAUCGGUGGAUUUGUGUAAGUAUUUGUUCCAAGCACAUCGUUUUUAGAAAAGAGAUGUUGAUUCAAUAACAACACUUUGUCUCUAAAAAGUAAAAACUAUUAAAUGUGUCUCAGAUCAAUCACGUUCCGAUUGUAGCCAAUACUUCGAGACAUACACUAAACAAAUUAUUUGAGUAGUCUUCUAUUCACCAAAUUGGACUUAUUGUCCAAAAGGUUUCCAUUAGUUCAAGAGUGUUCCUAUAAUUAAUUUAACCAAGCUAAACGCAUGAAAAAUGUUUUGCUGAUGAAAUGGAUUAAUAUUAUAGAAGUUUGGCAGAUUUGAUGAUGAUUGCACAAGAUAUUCAUUUUGUUUACUGGAAAACUGCAAAAACAAGGAUCUUGCACAUACAUGCUGCUAUUCAAUUACAAGAUACAAGCAACCUUUCCUUUCAUGGCAUGAGAAUAAGAAAAGAAGCCCUGGCUUUCAAACUUCAUAGUUUUUUUUCUCUCUUGGGUAUUGAGGGAGAGGGAGGGAGAACAAGCGCAGAGAAAGAGAAAGGGAGAAGCGGGGUCUUUGAUGAUAAAUCAGUGAACCCAGAUGGAAUUAAGAUUUGGUGGUUUGAAAGCCAUUUGAUCCAUUCCGAUGUCCUUAUCAAGAAAAUGAGGGCAUUAUAGGUAGUACCCUUUCAUGCCGUCGUUUUCUCAAGUGAGCUUUCUCAAUUUACAAUUUGUAGUAAAUCCUGAUAGAGGAAAAGCUGGAGUGUGCGCUUUAUGUGCUUUGACCAAGUUUUUUUUGUCAACUUCUAGUAAUUUAACCUUGGUGCUUGUGGCGUGAGACCUGGAGGAAAGGUGAGUAGGAUGAUACUAGAUUAGUAAAUCUGAAAUGCUCCUGACAAGCAUGUUCUCCUUCCCAUGCUAUAUGCAGGCUAUACUGAUGAUUAGUCCAGAACCACAAUCUUGUGCUGCCUGAAGUUGUGUGGUGUUCUUAUAUGUUCUGAUGGCUUGGAGUUUUAUGCAGGUAUUCUAGCCUGCCCGGCU